rnacentral:lncRNA from 1 species
AAAAAAAUCAAAAAAUAAAAAAUAAAAAAAUUAAAUAAUUAAAUAAAUAAAUAAAAUAAAUAAAUAAAUAAAAGAAAAAAUCUUUGACUUGGACCUCUCUCAUUUGAGCCCACAAAGCCAUGAAAAUCAGGUUAUAAAAGAGGGAGAACAGACAGAAAAAGGAAGAGAAGCAAAACACUCUGAGGUUUCCCUAGACAAAAC